AUACUUACCUGACGCGAGAGGCACCUUGAUCAACUAGGAGGUCCUCUCAGGAUGAGGCCCUUUCAUUGCACUUCGACUGGGUUGACUCCUGCGAUUACCCCUAAUGUGGGUAACUCAAUCGUAUAAUUUCUGGUAGUGGGGACCUGCGUUCGCGACCCUCCCCU
rnacentral:snRNA from 1 species